CCUACGGGUGGCAGCAGUGGGGGAUAUUGCACAAUGGGGGAAACCCUGAUGCAGCGACGCCGCGUGUGGGAAGACGGUCUUCUGGAUUGUAAACCACUGUCCCCAGGGACGAAAAUGACGGUACCUGGGGCGGACGCUCCGGCUAACUACGUGCCAGCAGCCGCGGUAAUACGUAGGGAGCAAGCGUUAUCCGGAAUGAUUGGGCGUAAAGGGUGCGUAGGCGGCCUGCUAAGUCUGGAGUGAAAGGUACCGGCUCAACCGGUACAGGCUCUGGAAACUGGCGGGCUAGAGAGCAGGAGAGGGCGGUGGAACUCCAUGUGUAGCGGUAAAAUGCGUAGAUAUAUGGAAGAACACCAGUGGCGAAGGCGGCCGCCUGGCCUGUGACUGACGCUGAGGCACGAAAGCGUGGGGAGCAAAUAGGAUUAGAUACCCUGGUAGUC
rnacentral:rRNA from 1 species